rnacentral:rRNA from 1 species
AGAUUGAACGCUGGCGGCGUGCUUAACACAUGCAAGUCGAGCGGUAACGCGGGAGCAAUCCUGGCGACGAGCGGCGAACGGGUGAGUAAUGCUUGGGAAUCUGCCCAUUAGUGGGGAACAACCAGCCGAAAGGUUGGCUAAUACCGCAUACGCCCUACGGGGGAAAGCGGGGGAUCGAAAGACCUCGCGCUAAUGGAUGAGCCCAAGUCGGAUUAGCUUGUUGGUAGGGUAACGGCCUACCAAGGCGACAAUCCGUAGCUGGUCUGAGAGGACGACCAGCCACACUGGGACUGAGACACGGCCCAGACUCCUACGGGAGGCAGCAGUGGGGAAUAUUGGACAAUGGGGGCAACCCUGAUCCAGCGACGCCGCGUGUGUGAAGAAGGCCUGCGGGUUGUAAAGCACUUUUAGUGGGGAUGAAAAGCUCGAGGGUUAACACCUCUGGGUCUUGACCUAACCACAAGAAAAGCACCGGCUAACUCUGCGCCAGCAGCCGC